CGCAGAGCGAGAGACAGGGAGACAGACAGCGAAGCAGAUGGCCGCGCGAGGGGGCGGAGUCCCGGCGGGGCGUGGACGUCGCGAGCUCGACGGAGCCAAUCAAUUCCCUCAGCUGCUCCGGGGCUAGAAAACAAGGGGGAAGAAGAGGAUGGUCAAGAUUGACUGGCUGGAAGAUGAGAGAGCUCCCUCCUGAUGGUUUCUACUUGCCUUUGAAAUUCAUCAGCUAAGGGUCAAAGAGAGGAACAGAAGAGUAAAUCAGAAAAGGAAAUGGCCACCACUGUCUAAUUAGAUGGUACCCUCUGAGAUGGAGAGAUUACAUCCCCAACUCAUCUACGUCAUGUUUAAAGAUCUGAAUGUUCACUUCAGCUCCUGUUGCAUCUUAGUGGAGGCUGCUUGUGCAGAAUGACGUUUGGCAAAAUAAAGGAGAAAAGACAACUGGAAUUUCAGUGAACUCCAUUUUCUUGGCUUAGAAGUCACAAGCUCCAGUUAAGUGCCACCCUGAAUAAGUGGCUCCUUUGUGUUGAGGGAGAGACCACCCCCUGACCCAGAGAUGCGGUUUUGCAACACGCAGAUGGAGGUUUCCAGAAGUCCUCAGCUGGAGCAGCUAAAUGUGACUGAGACAACACAGUCCCAUAGACAAAGGUCAGACCUAUUUUAAUCUCUGAGUGAGGCUAUUACUCUGGGACAAGGCCCUUCUUGUCUGAUUUCCUGCUAUUUUCAGUGAUUCACAAGCCUGAAUCUCUUUCAUCUGGGAGUGCAGAGCCCCAUCCCCCUUUUAGAUUUGUUUGUGAGUUAAAAUAGUUCCCAUCCUCAGUCUUCUCGGAGUGUCUUCUUGCAGCCGUAGAAUUCCUCAGGCUGUGACCUGGAGGAAUCCCUGGGAGGGAGAGUCAGGGCAGCUUGGAAUGCAAGCCCAGGGGAGGAGGGAGGAAUCCGGAGUGUAACAGGAAGUGGGGUUGCUGCUUGCUUGCCCAGAGCCUCGGAGCCUCUGUGGGGAUCAGUGGGGCUGACUCCUCUGAGGGUGCUCUGGGAGGCUUCUGCAACACAGCCUUACGGAGGCUUGCCCUGUACUGUCUGCUGAGGUGUAUGCAUCGUGCAGGUGUUUCAGUCCAAGUCCAGGCACUAUAGAAUCCAACGCAAUUAGGAAGAAAGACGCUCCUUUAGUUUCUUGAUGACACAGCCCUCAUGUUCUGUAAUUACUGGUCCAUUUGGAUAGAG